UACGUAGGGUGCGAGCGUUGUCCGGAAUUACUGGGCGUAAAGGGUGCGUAGGCGGUUCGUUAAGUCUGUUGUGAAAUCCCCGGGCUCAACCUGGGAAUGGCGAUGGAUACUGGCGAGCUAGAGUGUGUCAGAGGAUGGUGGAAUUCCCGGUGUAGCGGUGAAAUGCGUAGAGAUCGGGAGGAACAUCAGUGGCGAAGGCGGCCAUCUGGGACAACACUGACGCUGAAGCACGAAAGCGUGGGGAGCAAACAGG
rnacentral:rRNA from 1 species